rnacentral:pre_miRNA from 1 species
UCUUACGGAUGAGCAAAGAAAGUAGUUUCUUGAGAUGGAAUUUACUCCUGGUGAAGAAGCUGUAAA